UUGUUGUUGUUUUGUAUGGAUUAUUUGCAUGUGUUGUUGUUGUUGUUGUGUGUUGAGAUUACAAGCAUGUGUCAUUGUUGUUGAUGCGUAAGUGUUAGCGUUACUUGCAUGCGCUUACAAAAGCCUUGAGCAAGCUUUUCUCAUGCUGAGGUUGGACUGUGCAGCGCUAAACACCUUCGUUGUUUCUGUUCACUGGGUUGUGGGAUGGUGUGCUGCUAUUUGACAAGUGCAAGCUCAGCUGGGUUCCCUUUCUGGUGCUGUAGACGCAUUCUGAAGGCCCACACAAUGUUUUCGCGCACAUUUCAAGUUGUGGGGGGCUAUGGUUUUUCUAGGGUUUUGGAAUGUCUAUUCUAACAAUGGCGCAUUCGGAGUCCAGUAUUCGCAUCCAAUAGAUCCGAUUCUUUCUCCUGGUGCAAGAGCCUUCAUUUGCUGGAGUUGUCUGAGGUUUGAGCAACGUCAUACUGGCAUUCUUCUGUUGUCCUUUGCUGCUUCUUUAUUUUGAUUUUGAUGUUUGCAACUUGGUUUUGGUUUUGCAAUUUUUGAAACAGUUGGGGCUUAAAACAUGUUAAGGUCAAUCCGUUCGUGGAAAACUCUGUUCGAUUUAUUGUAUCACAAUCAUUCCCUCAUGUGUCAUUGUUCUUGAGAAUUUUACUAAAUCCCAUAAGAGAGGCUAAAGGAAAUACUCACGAGCACUCUAUAUUAGCAUGAAGUUUGUGAUUUUGCAUAUUACAUUGUGCCAAUGUUUUUUUUUGCGUUUGACGCGAAAAUUCUCGGUGAAUUUUCUAGUAUGGUGGAUGUUGCUGAUUGUUUGCUGUUCAUCUCAUUACGGGUGAGAUAAUGUAUGUAUAUUUUUCUAAUUUUAUUUUCUGGCAUCCAGUGGUCAAUGCUCGUUGUGAUGUACUAAACAAAAAAAAAUUAAAUGGAGGAUUCCAUGCGAAGGAGCACUAGGGUUUAUCCUGGACGUCGCAAAAUCCAACCUGUUGCGUUGAUGAAACGACCAAGUCGGUGCUUAUCUCCUGCUCUUUAGUCAUCAAUAGUAUCAGUGUUUAUAAGUUAACGUCGAGUUUUCUUUGCUCAAAUCUGUUCCUGAUGGAGGACCCAAAACCAGAAAGCAUUGAACCUUGGAUCCUACAAAGCAUUCUAACUUCUUAAAUAAUCAAAGCUUCAAGGACAUUCAAGGAUUAUGAGAGUAGGUCUAUAAUUCAACAAUGAUAUGGAUUUCUUAAGCUGCGUUUUCAAGCAAAGCUAGAACUUCUGCCUGAAGCUUCACUGGAAACUUGUUUCACGACACUUUUCUUCGUAUCGAGAGACAUGCAUUGAGUUUAAAACUCUCAGCCCAAAACGAUACAUAUCCCUGGUAUGCAAAAAAAUUCAAGGAAAUACACAUUUUUAACUAAACAAAGUUGCUCCAAGUAAGGUCUUCUUGAGGCUGAGUUAAAGUUCAGCAAAGAGGGGCCGUUCUGGUGACAUACAUAUUGCCAUCUCCUUUACAAACGUCGUAGUGUAGAAGCACGACUACCUGUAUGAUAAAUUCUGUUUAUAUUCGCCAAAGAAAACCCAGUUUUCACAUUCUACCAACCGCCCAUCAGAUAUUCUCUCUGUAGGAAGCUUUGCACCCUACAUCUUCAUGACGGCAUACGAUCGAUUCACGCUAGCUUGCGAACUCCUUCAACCCUUCAAUCAACAAACACCCCACAUUGUACGAACCUCCUGUAAUUACUAUAACAAACACGUUACUAAGGAAAUUUCUACACAUGCAUCAAGAGCACAGCGGCAGCAGCGAUGGGAGGCAAAGUCCAUUAGAAGCCACUUCAUCGAGAUAGCACUUCAUGACGCUUGUUCAUCGUGUGCAGAGGGAGAUCUACAACUGGGUCCUGGCGGUUGCGCAACGAGGAUAAAAUGUAUGAAUCGCGCUACAAGGGCCAGAUAAACAUGCGUCGCAAAACCAAACUCCUCCAGUUCGGCCUAGGUGGAGCAGCACCCAUCGAUAUAUCAUUCAUCUAUUUUCCAGGCUUUAACAUCCACAACUGCACCACAUGUACCAGCGUUUUCAUUCAUUCACUGCCUGUUUUCUUCCGC
rnacentral:lncRNA from 1 species